GUGACAAGGUGCUGCAAGA
rnacentral:piRNA from 1 species